rnacentral:rRNA from 1 species
UACGAAGGGGGCUAGCGUUGCUCGGAAUCACUGGGCGUAAAGCGCACGUAGGCGGACUCUUAAGUCGGUGGUGAAAUCCUGGAGCUCAAUUCCAGAACUGCCUUCGAUACUGGGAGUCUCGAGUUCGGGAGAGGUGAGUGGAACUGCGAGUGUAGAGGUGAAAUUCGUAGAUAUUCGCAAGAACACCAGUGGCGAAGGCGGCUCACUGGCCCGAUACUGACGCUGAGGUGCGAAAGCGUGGGGAGCAAACAGG